ensembl:snoRNA Gm24075 predicted gene, 24075
CCUGUGCCUAGAAGUGUUGCAGGUGUGGCUGCUGUGUCACAAGUACAUCAGUAGGUGACAGGGAGGGUGAAA